UAAACUCGCAACAGUGCCAGCACCCAGAGAUGAAGCCCCCAGGAACCAUUAGAAGACAUUUAAGAUCCAAAUUGUAAGAGUGGCUAAGGACUUUAACAAGAAGUCAGCGACUCUGCAUAACCAGUGAAGAAACAGGAAAGGAAACAGCCUCAGGGAGGAAGGCAACCUGGUCACAGGCUCAUUCCACAAGAAUGAACACCUACUACUUGAAUAACCAAGAGCCAGAGGCUAGACAUCUUAAAGACAUGAGUGUUGGGGACAGAGCCCAGGCUUCAUGCAUGCCAGAAAGAUGGUGGUGUCUCUGUGAAAUCAAAGAUGAAAUUUACCUAGGAAAAUCCCAAGGGAGUACCCUCUACUUCCAAAAUCUUCUGCUUGGUCAUAAUGAAGUGGGAAGCAGACUCCAUUUUUCCCAUAAAAGUUGCCGAAAUAAUCCUCUCUGGUGAACGGAACGGCCGCUAUGAGAAAUCCCACCACCCAGAUGCUGGCGAGGGCCACAGCAGUCUGGCGCUUGCCCAGGCGCAGGUUGCUGAAAGGGAAUACUAUGACAAGGAACUUCUCCAGCGUCAGGAAUGUCAGCAG
ensembl:antisense Gm42557 predicted gene 42557